UGGGGAAUAUUGCACAAUGGAGGAAACUCUGAUGCAGCGACGCCGCGUGAGUGAAGAAGUAAUUCGUUAUGUAAAGCUCUAUCAGCAGGGAAGAUAGUGACGGUACCUGACUAAGAAGCUCCGGCUAAAUACGUGCCAGCAGCCGCGGUAAUACGUAUGGAGCAAGCGUUAUCCGGAUUUACUGGGUGUAAAGGGAGCGCAGGCGGUCCUGCAAGUCUGAUGUGAAAGCCCGGGGCUCAACCCCGGGACUGCAUUGGAAACUGUGGGACUUGAGUGUCGGAGGGGCAAGUGGAAUUCCUAGUGUAGCGGUGAAAUGCGUAGAUAUUAGGAGGAACACCAGUGGCGAAGGCGGCUUGCUGGACGACAACUGACGCU
rnacentral:rRNA from 1 species